rnacentral:rRNA from 1 species
AUACGUAGGGUGCGAGCGUUGUCCGGAAUUACUGGGCGUAAAGAGCUCGUAGGUGGUUUGUCGCGUCGUCUGUGAAAUUCCGGGGCUUAACUCCGGGCGCGCAGGCGAUACGGGCAUAACUUGAGUACUGUAGGGGAGACUGGAAUUCCUGGCGUAGCGGCGAAGUGCGCAGAUAUCAGGAGGAACACCGGUGGCGAAGGCGGGUCUCUGGGCAGUAACUGACGCUGAGGAGCGAAAGCAUGGGUAGCGAACAGGAUUAGAUACCCUGGUAGUCCAUGCCGUAAACGGUGGGCGCUAGGUGUAGGGGUCUUCCACGACUUCUGUGCCGUAGCUAACGCAUUAAGCGCCCCGCCUGGGGAGUACGGCCGCAAGGCUAAAACUCAAAGGAAUUGACGGGG